rnacentral:rRNA from 1 species
GACGAACGCUGGCGGCGUGCUUAACACAUGCAAGUCGAACGGAAAGGCCUCUUUCGGGGGGUACUCGCGUGGCGAACGGGUGAGUAACACGUGAGUAACCUGCCCUUGACUUUGGGAUAACUUCAGUAAACUGGGGCUAAUACCGGAUAGGAGCUCCUGCUGCAUGGUGGGGGUUGGAAAGUUUCGGCGGUUGGGGAUGGACUCGCGGCUUAUCAGCUUGUUGGUGGGGUAGUGGCUUACCAAGGCUUUGACGGGUAGCCGGCCUGAGAGGGUGACCGGCCACAUUGGGACUGAGGUACGGCCCAGACUCCUACGGGAGGGAGAAGUGGGGAAGAUUGCACAAUGGGUGGAAGCCUGAUGCAGCAACGCCGUGUGCGGGAUGACGGCCUUCGGGUUGUAAACCGCUUUCGCUCAUGACGAAGCUUUGUGUGACGGUAGUGGGUAAAGAAGCACCGGCUAACUACGUG